rnacentral:rRNA from 1 species
UACGUAGGGUGCAAGCGUUAAUCGGAAUUACUGGGCGUAAAGCGUGCGCAGGCGGUGAUGUAAGACAGUUGUGAAAUCCCCGGGCUCAACCUGGGAACUGCAUUUGUGACUGCAUCGCUGGAGUGCGGCAGAGGGGGAUGGAAUUCCGCGUGUAGCAGUGAAAUGCGUAGAUAUGCGGAGGAACACCGAUGGCGAAGGCAAUCCCCUGGGCCUGCACUGACGCUCAUGCACGAAAGCGUGGGGAGCAAACAGG